ACGCACGCUGGCGGCGUGCCUAAUACAUGCAAGUAGAACGCUGAAGAGAGGAGCUUGCGCUUCUUGGAUGAGUUGCGAACGGGUGAGUAACGCGUAGGUAACCUGCCUUGUAGCGGGGGAUAACUAUUGGAAACGAUAGCUAAUACCGCAUAACAAUGGAUGACACAUGUCAUUUAUUUGAAAGGGGCAAUUGCUCCACUACAAGAUGGACCUGCGUUGUAUUAGCUAGUAGGUGAGGUAAUGGCUCACCUAGGCGACGAUACAUAGCCGACCUGAGAGGGUGAGCGGCCCAACCGGGAACGAGACCAGGCCCCGGCUUCUAAGGGAGGCAGCAGUAGGGAAACUUUGGCCAUGGGGGCAACCCUGACCGAGCAACGCCGCGUGAGUGAAGAAGGUUUUCGGAUCGUAAAGCUCUGUUGUAAGUCAAGAACGGGUGUGAGAGUGGAAAGUUCACACUGUGACGGUAGCUUACCAGAAAGGGACGGCUAACUACGUG
rnacentral:rRNA from 1 species